CUGAAUUGGGAGGCAAGGGAAGCAAAGAGGAGAGGGAAUGAAGAAUUACGCAUUGGAUAAGAAGGUCAUAUCUUCGUGCCUCACUUCCUGACACAAACAAGUUUUCACUGUUGUCAGCAACAAAGCCCUGAUACAGCUGCGGGAAGAAAAGGCAUCGCAUUUUGUCUCCUGCAAGCAUCAUCCACAGUUACCGGAGGAAUGUAAUUCCAGAAAGCUUUAAAGCUGGUGGUGAUGGUAAUUAUGUAUCAAAUGCCCGAUUCUAUUUCUGUUAUUAUUGUUCUGUCAUUUCUGUUCUACCCAAGAGCUGGCUGAACUCGCAGAGGUACAAAUCCGGUUUUUCUUUUUUUGAUCUGGUAACAUGUCAUCAGACCUGAUGGAGAACUCACUGCUCUUGGGGGAAAAUAAAGUGGGAGCCACGAAAUGUCA